AGGGCGUAAUAGUACGCCCUCCGGUCUUAAGGGGUUAAUCCAGCCUCUUGAGGGAGUGGGAUCCUGAGAGUGAGGGGAACCUAAAGACCCUAUAGUGCCAGGAAAACAAGUUUUUUUCCUGGCACUAUAGUGGACCUUUAAUGAAAAUAUUUGGAAACUACAAUUUUACGUUGCAUCCAUUUGGGAAUCAUAGUUGUCAAACAUACAG